CAAGCAGUGGGAGGGGAAAGUGAUCUCUGACCGCGUGCCUGUUGAAGAAUGAGCCGGCGACUCAUAGGCAGUGGCUUGGUGUGGGGAACGGAACCCACCGGAGCCGUAGCGAAAGCGAGUCUUAAUAGGGCGAUUGUCACUGCUUAUGGACCCGAACCUGGGUGAUCUAUCCAUGACCAGGAUGAAGCUUGGAUGAAACUAAGCAGAGGUCCGAACCGACUGAUGUUGAAGAAUCAGCG
rnacentral:ncRNA from 1 species